AGCGGAGGAAAAGAAACCAACAGGGAUUGCCUUAGUAACGGCGAGUGAAGCGGCAAAAGCUCAAAUUUGAAAUCUGGCACCUUCGGUGUCCGAGUUGUAAUUUGAAGAAGGAAAACCUAGGGGAGGCUCUUGUCUAUGUUCCUUGGAACAGGACGUCACAGAGGGUGAGAAUCCCGUGAGAUGAGAGUACCUUUCUGUCAUGGUUUCCUUCGAAGAGUCGAGUUGUUUGGGAAUGCAGCUCUAAGUGGGUGGUAAAUUCCAUCUAAAGCUAAAUAUUGGCGAGAGACCGAUAGCGAACAAGUACAGUGAUGGAAAGAUGAAAAGAACUUUGAAAAGAGAGUGAAAAAGUACGUGAAAUUGUUGAAAGGGAAGGGCUUGAGAUCAGACUUGGUAUUUUGCGAUCCUUUCCUUCUUGGUUGGGUUCUCCGCAGCUUACUGGGCCAGCAUCGGUUUGGAUGGUAGGAUAAUGGCUAAUGAAUGUGGCUCUGCUUCGGUGGAGUGUUAUAGCAUUGGUUGAUACUGCCUAUCUAGACCGAGGACCGCGUCUUUGACUAGGAUGCUGGCAUAAUGAUCUUAAGUCGCCCGUCUUG
rnacentral:rRNA from 1 species